rnacentral:rRNA from 1 species
AGUCACUGACAUUAGAUACCCGUGUAGUCCAGGGUGUAAACGCUGCAGACUUGGUGUUGGAGGCCCGUUUGGGGGCAUUCAGUGCCGGAGAGAAGUUGUUAAGUCUGCUACGUUGGGAGUACGUCCGCAAGGAUAGAAACUUAAAGGAAUUGGCGGGGGAGCACCGCAACGGGAGGAGCGUGCGGUUUAAUUGGAUUCAACACCGUAAAACUCACCAGGGAAGACUGUUACAUGAAAGCCGAGAUGAAGACUCUGCUAGAUUUUCAG